GUCAUAAUGGCCGUGUGGUCUAAGGCGCCAGACUCAAGAUGAAUAAAUCUUUUCAAGGAAUGAGGAUUAUGGUCUCCAGAUGGAGGCGUAGGUUCAAAUCCCACUUCUGACA
rnacentral:tRNA from 1 species